rnacentral:misc_RNA from 1 species
GAUGAAGAACGCAGCGAAAUGCGAUAAGUAAUGUGAAUUGCAGAAUUCAGUGAAUCAUCGAAUCUUUGAACGCACAUUGCGCCCUCUGGUAUUCCGUGGGGCAUGCCUGUUCGAGCGUCAUUAUAACCACUCAAGCUCUCGCUUGGUAUUGGGGUUCGCGGUUCCGCGGCCCCUAAAAUCAGUGGCGGUGCCUGUCGGCUCUACGCGUAGUAAUACUCCUCGCGAUUGAGUCCGGUAGGUCUACUUGCCAGCAACCCCCAAUUUUUACAGGUUGACCUCGGAUCAGGUAGGGAUACCCGCUGAACUUAAGCAUAUCAAUAAGCGGAGGA